AUUAUCCGUAUUUUCCUAAAAUAAACCGCAGCAAUUAACAGGUUAACGGCUAUUUUCAGAUUAAACUCACUACAGGAAUUUGAGUUUAAUAACAGACAUCAGGAAUUAUCCGAUAAAAAAAUGCCGGCAUUUCGCCGGCACUUUUU
rnacentral:sRNA from 1 species